GCUUCUGAAGGAUAACAGUUCAUCCAUUGGUCUUAGGAACCAAAAACUCUUGGUGC
rnacentral:tRNA from 1 species